rnacentral:rRNA from 1 species
GACGAACCGUGCGAACGUUGUUCGGAAUCACUGGGCUUAAAGGGCGCGUAGGCGGGUCAUCAAGUCAGGGGUGAAAUACUCCGGCCUAACCGGAGAACGGCUUCUGAUACUGGUGACCUCGAGGGGUGUAGGGGCAUGUGGAACUUCCGGUGGAGCGGUGAAAUGCGUAGAUAUCGGAAGGAACGCCGGUGGCGAAAGCGACGUGCUGGACACCUUCUGACGCUGAGGCGCGAAAGCCAGGGGAGCAAACGGG